AUUGUGGUGAUGGGCGGUGUUGGUGUUGGGAUUACAGGCGGCGGUGGUGUUGGGUUUGGAACUGCAGGUGGAGGGGGGCUGUGAAAAGUGAUAACAGGGAUUGAUUAUGAUUCAAAAAGGUAAAAGUUGUCAUACUUGGGUCUGUGCUAACAAGUUGAGCUGUUCCUC